UCUGAUGACUCUAGCUUGUGUCAAGUUGACU
rnacentral:piRNA from 1 species